UCAAGCGAACAAGGGCGCAGGGCGAAUGCCUUGGCACUGGGAGCCGAUGAAAGACGUGAUAAGCUGCGAUAAGCUUCGGGGAGCUGCAAAUAAGCAUUGAUCCGGAGAUUUCUGAAUGAGGAAACUCACCUGGGUUCAUACUCAGGUACGUUAUACUGAACUUAAAAAUAGGUAUAUCGAGGGAACCGCCUGAACUGAAACAUCUAAGUAGGGCGAGGAAGAGACAUCAAACGAGAUUCCGUAAGUAGUGGCGAGCGAACGCGGAAGAGGGCAAACCGGAAGUAGAAAUACUUCCGGGGUACGGACCGCAUUUAGGACUUAAGUUGUUAACCGAACGGCAUGGGAAGGCCGGUCAGAGAGUGUGAGAACCACGUAGGUGAAAACGACAAGAGCUGAGCGAGUUCCAGAGUACGGCCAGACACGUGAAACCUGGUCGGAAUACGGGGGGACCACCCUCCAACCCUAAAUACUACCCAGUGACCGAUAGCGUAUAGUACUGUGAAGGAAAGGUGAAAAGCACCCCGGGAGGGGAGUGAAAAAGAACCUGAAACCCUGUGCCUACAAGCACCUAGAGCACGUCAAUGUGUGAUAGGGUACUUUUUGUAGAACGGUCCGGCGAGCGAUUGUAUGCAGCAAGGUUAAGGACUUAAGGUCUGGAGCCGAAGCGAAAGCGAGUUUGAAAAGGGCGUUAAGUUGCAUACAAUGGGCCCGAAACCGGGUGACCUACCCAUGGUCAGGUUGAAGUGGAAGUAAAAUUCCAUGGAGGACCGAACCGACCUCCGUUGAAAAGGCGGCGGAUGAACUGUGGGUAGCGGAGAAAUUCCAAUCGAACCCGGAGAUAGCUGGUUCUCCCCGAAAUAGUUUUAGGACUAGCCUCAAGUUAGAUACCUGGAGGUAAAGCACUGAAUAGCCUAGCGGCCGAGAGGUUAGCGAAGCUUAUCAAACUCAGAAUGCCAGAGUAUUGAUGCUUGGGAGUCAGACAGUGUCAGAUAAAUGUCAUUGUCAAAAGGGAAACAGCCCAGAUCUACAGCUAAGGUCCCAAAGUCAGGUUAAGUGGAAAACGAUGUGAAGAUACGCAGACAACCAGGAUGUUGGCUCAGAAGCAGCCACUCAUUCAAAGAGUGCGUAAUAGCUCACUGGUCGAGCGUCUUUGCGCGGAGAAUUUAACGGGGCUAAACCUGACACCGAAGCUUAGGCAAUACAGCAAUGUAUUGGGUAGGGGAGCGUUGUAUACGCGGUGAAACAGUAGCGCAAGCGGCUGUGGAGUGUAUAGAAGUGAGAAUGCCGGAAUGAGUAGCGCGAAUGCAGUGAGAAUCUGCAUGGCCGAAAGCCUCAGGUUUCUGGAGGAAGGUUCGUCCGCUCCAGGUUAGUCGGGAGCUAAGGUGAGGCCUAACGGCGUAGCCGAUGCACAGACGGUAGAGAUUCCGUCACCACCAAAAGAGUUAAACACAGGGACACAUUUGAAGUCUCGGAGCCGGGUGUUGGUUCCGGUAGCGAUCGAGGGAAAUUAGUACCGAAGUCCGGGAUGGAAGAUGGCGAGAAAAGCUGUGUGUAUUUCUGCGGUGCCCGUACCGCAAACCGACACAGGUAGGUAGGAAGAAGAUUCUAAGGCCAACGGGAGAAGGGUUGUUAAGGAACUCGGCAAAUUGACCCCGUAACUUCGGGAGAAGGGGUGCUCCAGAGAUGGAGCCGCAGAGAAUCGGCCCAAGCAACUGUUUACCAAAAACACAGGUUUGUGCUAAAUCGAAAGAUGACGUAUACGAGCUGACGCCUGCCCGGUGCUGGAAGGUUAAGAGGAGAUGUGCAAGCAUUGAAUCGAAGCCCCAGUGAACGGCGGCCGUAACUAUAACGGUCCUAAGGUAGCGAAAUUCCUUGUCAGGUAAG
rnacentral:rRNA from 1 species